rnacentral:rRNA from 1 species
ACAACUUUAAACGGUGGAUCUCUUGGCUCGUGCAUCGAUGAAGAACGCAG